AACGAACGCUGGCGGCAUGCCUAACACAUGCAAGUCGAACGAGACCUCCGGGUCUAGUGGCGCACGGGUGCGUAACGCGUGGGAACCUGCCUUUAGGUUCGGAAUAACUCAGAGAAAUUUGAGCUAAUACCGGAUGAUGUCUUCGGACCAAAGAUUUAUUGACUUUAGAUGGGCCCGCGUUGGAUUAGCUUGUUGGUGGGGUAAAGGCUUACCAAGGCGACGAUCCAUAGCUGGUCUGAGAGGAUGAUCAGCCACACUGGGACUGAGACACGGCCCAGACUCCUACGGGAGGCAGCAGUGGGGGAUAUUGGACAAUGGGCGGAGGCCUGAUGCAGCAAUGCCGCGUGAGUGAUGAAGGCCUUAGAGUUGUAAAGCUCUUUUACCCGAGAUGAUAAUGACGGUAUCGGGAGAAUAAGCUCCGGCUAACUCCGUG
rnacentral:rRNA from 1 species